GACGAACGCUGGCGGCGUGCCUAAUACAUGCAAGUUGAGCGCUGAAGGUUGGUACUUGUACCGACUGGAUGAGCAGCGAACGGGUGAGUAACGCGUGGGGAAUCUGCCUUUGAGCGGGGGACAACAUUUGGAAACGAAUGCUAAUACCGCAUAAAAACUUUAAACACAAGUUUUAAGUUUGAAAGAUGCAAUUGCAUCACUCAAAGAUGAUCCCGCGUUGUAUUAGCUAGUUGGUGAGGUAAAGGCUCACCAAGGCGAUGAUACAUAGCCGACCUGAGAGGGUGAUCGGCCACAUUGGGACUGAGACACGGCCCAAACUCCUACGGGAGGCAGCAGUAGGGAAUCUUCGGCAAUGGACGAAAGUCUGACCGAGCAACGCCGCGUGAGUGAAGAAGGUUUUCGGAUCGUAAAGCUCUGUUGGUAGAGAAGAACGUUGGUGAGAGUGGAAAGCUCAUCAAGUGACGGUAACUACCCAGAAAGGGACGGCUAACUACAUG
rnacentral:rRNA from 1 species